GACGAACGCUGGCGGCGUGCUUAACACAUGCAAGUCGAACGGAAAGUGCCCAGCUUGCUGGGUGACUCGAGUGGCGAACGGGUGAGUAACACGUGGGAGAUCUGCCCUGCACUUUGGGAUAAGCCUGGGAAACUGGGUCUAAUACCGAAUACACCCUGCUGGUCGCAUGGCAUGGUGGGGGAAAGCUUUUGCGGUGUGGGAUGGGCCCGCGGCCUAUCAGCUUGUUGGUGGGGUGAUGGCCUACCAAGGCGACGACGGGUAGCCGGCCUGAGAGGGUGUCCGGCCACACUGGGACUGAGAUACGGCCCAGACUCCUACGGGAGGCAGCAGUGGGGAAUAUUGCACAAUGGGCGCAAGCCUGAUGCAGCGACGCCGCGUGAGGGAUGACGGCCUUCGGGUUGUAAACCUCUUUCAAUAGGGACGAAGCGUGAGUGACGGUACCUAUAGAAGAAGCACCGGCCAACUACGUGCCAGCCGCCGCCGUAAUAC
rnacentral:rRNA from 1 species